rnacentral:lncRNA from 1 species
UGGAAAGACCAUGCGCGUGCUCGUGGCGGCUGCAGCCGACAAAGGCACCACCACGCACGCCACUGUAAUGACGUCGCAUCGAUCGCCGCGGUAUUCGUGACCAAUCACCGUCAGCACGUCCACGCGGAUGCGCUUGACCUGGACGACGUCGUGCGUGAGGCGCGACGUCAUUGCCAGCGAGAGGAGCGCUCGGAUCGUGCCGAGGAUGCGCCCAUCCGACACGUCCUCGACAAUGCGAUCGACGACGUGCGACCACACGACACCCGCCUGCGUGCCCGCGCCCCAGAGAUCCACCGUUUCCUGCCGGGUCGGUGUGCCCUCGUCGCGCAGAGCGUCCUGUGGCCAUGCGCCUCUGGUGCGGCGCUUCUUGGCCGGCGAGGACGAGUCUGGCGCCGCGCUCGAUAGGCCGGCUGAUUCGGCCGUCGAGCCUCGCUUGGUGCGCGUGACAAAGGCGUCCAUGGCUCUCUGUCGGAGGGUCUUUUUUUUUUGAUUUUUCUUUCUCCAAGCAAAAAGAC